CAUGUACUCCCUCCGUUCCGAAUUACUUGUCUUGGAUUUGUCUAGAUACGGAUGUAUCUAGACUCAUUUUAGUGCUAGAUACCUCCGUAUCUAGAUAAAUCCAAGACAAGUAAUUCAGAACGGAGGGAGUAGUAC
rnacentral:pre_miRNA from 1 species